rnacentral:tRNA from 28 species
GGGUGAUUAGCUCAGCGGUAGAGCGCUUCGUUCACAUCGAAGAUGUCAGCGGUUCAAAUCCGUUAUCACCCACCA